rnacentral:rRNA from 1 species
GAUGAACGCUGGCGGCGUGCCUAAUACAUGCAAGUCGAGCGAACAGACGAGGAGCUUGCUCCUCUGACGUUAGCGGCGGACGGGUGAGUAACACGUGGAUAACCUACCUAUAAGACUGGGAUAACUUCGGGAAACCGGAGCUAAUACCGGAUAAUAUAUUGAACCGUAUGGUUCAAUAGUGAAAGACGGUUUUGCUGUCACUUAUAGAUGGAUCCGCGCCGCAUUAGCUAGUUGGUAAGGUAACGGCUUACCAAGGCAACGAUGCGUAGCCGACCUGAGAGGGUGAUCGGCAACCCUGGAACUGAGCCCCGGUCCAGACUCCUACGGGAGGCAGCAGUAGGGAAUCUUCCGCAAUGGGGGAAAGCCUGACGGAGCAACGCCGCGGGAGUGAUGAAGGUCUUCGGAUCGUAAACCUCUGUUAUUAGGGAAGAACAAAUGUGUAAGUAACUAUGCACGUCUUGACGGUACCUAAUCAGAAAGCCACGGCUAACUACGUG